rnacentral:rRNA from 1 species
UGAGGAAUUUUCCACAAUGGACGAAAGUCUGAUGGAGCAAUACCGCGUGCAGGAUGAAGGCCUUCGGGUCGUAAACUGCUUUUUAUAAGGAGCAACUAUGAGUUUACUUAUAGAAUAAGUCACGGCUAAUCACGUGCCAGCAGCCGCGGUAAUACGUGAGUGGCAAGCGUUAUCCGGAAUCAUUGGGCGUAAAGCGUCCGUAGGGGGGUGUUCAAGUGAAAUGUUAAAUUCUUCGACCCAAUCGAAGGCCUGCGUUUCAUACUGUUCACCUAGAAGAUGGGAGAGGUAAAUAGAAUUUCUGGAGUAGGGGUAAUAUCCGUAGAGACCAGAAGGAAUACCAAUAGCGAAGGCAAUUUACUGGCCCAUUCUUGACCCUCAAGUGACGAAAGCGUGGGGAGCA